rnacentral:rRNA from 1 species
GUUGACCUCGGAUCAGGUAGGACUACCCGCUGAACUUAAGCAUAUCAAUAAGCGGAGGAAAAGAAACCAACAGGGAUUGCCCCAGUAACGGCGAGUGAAGCGGCAACAGCUCAAAUUUGAAAUCUGGCCCCAGGCCCGAGUUGUAAUUUGCAGAGGAUGCUUUUGGCGCGGUGCCUUCCGAGUUCCCUGGAACGGGACGCCAUAGAGGGUGAGAGCCCCGUACGGGUUGGACACCAAGCCUUUGUAAAGCUCCUUCGACGAGUCGAGUAGUUUGGGAAUGCUGCUCUAAAUGGGAGGUACAUUUCUUCUAAAGCUAAAUAUUGGCCAGAGACCGAUAGCGCACAAGUAGAGUGAUCGAAAGAUGAAAAGCACUUUGAAAAGAGGGUAAACAGCACGUGAAAUUGUUAAAAGGGAAGCGCUUGUGACCAGACUUGCGUCCGGUGAAUCACCCAGCUCUCGCGGCUGGGGCACUUCGCCGGCACAGGCCAGCAUCAGCUUGCCGUCGGGGACAAAAGCUUCAGGAACGUAGCUCCUCUCGGGGAGUGUUAUAGCCUGUUGUAUAAUACCCUUCGGCGGGCUGAGGUACGCGCUCCGCAAGGAUGCUGGCGUAAUGGUCAUCAGCGAC